rnacentral:rRNA from 1 species
GAUGAACGCUGGCGGCGUGCCUAAUACAUGCAAGUCGAGCGAACGGACGAGAAGCUUGCUUCUCUGAUGUUAGCGGCGGACGGGUGAGUAACACGUGGAUAACCUACCUAUAAGACUGGGAUAACUUCGGGAAACCGGAGCUAAUACCGGAUAAUAUUUUGAACCGCAUGGUUCAAAAGUGAAAGACGGUCUUGCUGUCACUUAUAGAUGGAUCCGCGCUGCAUUAGCUAGUUGGUAAGGUAACGGCUUACCAAGGCAACGAUGCAUAGCCGACCUGAGAGGGUGAUCGGCCACACUGGAACUGAGACACGGUCCAGACUCCUACGGGAGGCAGCAGUAGGGAAUCUUCCGCAAUGGGCGAAAGCCUGACGGAGCAACGCCGCGUGAGUGAUGAAGGUCUUCGGAUCGUAAAACUCUGUUAUUAGGGAAGAACAUAUGUGUAAGUAACUGUGCACAUCUUGACGGUACCUAAUCAGAAAGCCACGGCUAACUACGUGCCAGCAGCCGCGGUAAUACGUAGGUGGCAAGCGUUAUCCGGAAUUAUUGGGCGUAAAGCGCGCGUAGGCGGUUUUUUAAGUCUGAUGUGAAAGCCCACGGCUCAACCGUGGAGGGUCAUUGGAAACUGGAAAACUUGAGUGCAGAAGAGGAAAGUGGAAUCCCAUGUGUAGCGGUGAAAUGCGCAGAGAUAUGGAGGAACACCAGUGGCGAAGGCGACUUUCUGGUCUGUAACUGACGCUGAUGUGCGAAAGCGUGGGGAUCAAACAGGAUUAGAUACCCUGGCAGUCCACGCCGUAAACGAUGAGUGCUAAGUGUUAGGGGGUUUCCGCCCCUUAGUGCUGCAGCUAACGCAUUAAGCACUCCGCCUGGGGAGUACGACCGCAAGGUUGAAACUCAAAGGAAUUGACGGGGACCCGCACAAGCGGUGGAGCAUGUGGUUUAAUUCGAAGCAACGCGAAGAACCUUACCAAAUCUUGACAUCCUUUGACAACUCUAGAGAUAGAGCUUUCCCCUUCGGGGGACAAAGUGACAGGUGGUGCAUGGUUGUCGUCAGCUCGUGUCGUGAGAUGUUGGGUUAAGUCCCGCAACGAGCGCAACCCUUAAGCUUAGUUGCCAUCAUUAAGUUGGGCACUCUAAGUUGACUGCCGGUGACAAACCGGAGGAAGGUGGGGAUGACGUCAAAUCAUCAUGCCCCUUAUGAUUUGGGCUACACACGUGCUACAAUGGACAAUACAAAGGGCAGCGAAACCGCGAGGUCAAGCAAAUCCCAUAAAGUUGUUCUCAGUUCGGAUUGUAGUCUGCAACUCGACUACAUGAAGCUGGAAUCGCUAGUAAUCGUAGAUCAGCAUGCUACGGUGAAUACGUUCCCGGGUCU